UACGUAGGAUGCAAGCGUUGUCCGGAUUUACUGGGCGUAAAGCGCGCGCAGGCGGCACACCAAGUACCCUAUGAAAUCUCCUUGCUCAACGGGGAGGGUGUUGGGUAGACUGGUGAGCUAGAGGACGGUAGAGGGGGGUAGAAUUGCUGGUGUAGCGGUGAAAUGCGUAGAGAUCAGCAGGAAUACCCGUGGCGAAGGCGAGUCCCUGGACAACACCUGACACUGAGGCACGAAAGCUAGGGGAGCAAACAGG
rnacentral:rRNA from 1 species